UAUUUUCUUUUUUUUUCCUUUUUUCUUUCUUGCUUCUUUUUUUUUUUUUUUUUUUCCCCAAAGGUAUUUGCUCUGAUUUGCAACCAAGACAAUCAAGAUUUUUUUUUUAUAUUUUAUUUUAUUUUUUUUGUGAAGAGGCACCAUUUCACUCCAUGGCCAUUGGUUUCACACAGGUGCUUGGCAGAGUCCCCAGGAGAUCACACACCUCUUGUGAUGCAGGACAGAAGCUCCCAGACCCUGGACACCCUCAGGACCUGCCACAUCCACCAGGGAAUUUCACACCAUCGUGUCAGUGAAUGCACUUCAUCAUCUGUCCAAGAAGAGGAGAGCAAGGCUGAGCAAGGUCAGGGAAUCAAACCCUGUAAGAAAAGUCCUUGCAACUCUGCAGAGACACGGAUGAAACUGGACCGAUAAGCGAGUCAGUUGGUCUGCACGCUCUCAUUUAAGAAGAGCCAGGAAGGGGUAUCCUCUCUUAUGUUAUACACAUCCUAUAUUUUACACGUGCUCCCUGCUUAGGAUUUUACUUCUGUGGCCAGCAGUCCACACGCACAAGAUGACUAUGUAACCCUUCAAGAAGGACUGCAAAAUGUUUUGUACACUGGGACACUCAUGUCUCAUGCCAUCACUGACUGUGUCUUUAUGGUUAUAUAUUUGCAUCAACCUAGUAAAAAAGAAAAAGUUGGUAGAGAAAUUCUUCUCUUUGUUGUAAUUUCACUCUGUGUUAUCCUAUCUAAAAGAGCAAAAUCAUCACCUUACAGCUUGCAAGUGGUCACGUAAAGUUGUGAUGUUGCCUAACGGAGUACCAGUAGAAAAGCUGAGGUAGCCAAGGGAGAUUUUAGAGAAAUGGGAGCCUGAGGGCAGUAGUGUUUGUUUUCUAGCCUGAAGAAAAGACAAAUUUAUUAUCCUAUGGGUUGUAAAGUUUGAUUAAUACCAGUACUCCACUUCCCCUCUCCGAAGUGUACAGGAAAUGAGUCUGUGGAAGCCAGUGGAUGUUUUCCACUGCCUUCCAUGACUGGGCCACAGAUAAACGGUGAUUCAUGGAGCCACUUACAUGGUAAAUGUGAAAAAUGAAAAUGACCUAUCCAUUAACUUAAUCAUCAUUCCACCCCUUCUCUAAGGCAAAUAAAGUGCUAGAUGGAGGCA
rnacentral:lncRNA from 1 species